GCGGAUGGAGCUGAAAUCAGUCGAAGAUACCAGCUGGCUGCAACUGUUUAUUAAAAACACAGCACUGUGCAAACACGAAAGUGGACGUAUACGGUGUGACGCCUGCCCGGUGCCGGAAGGUUAAUUGAUGGGGUUAGCGCAAGCGAAGCUCUUGAUCGAAGCCCCGGUAAACGGCGGCCGUAACUAUAACGGUCCUAAGGUAGCGAAAUUCCUUGUCGGGUAAGUUCCGACCUGCACGAAUGGCGUAAUGAUGGCCAGGCUGUCUCCACCCGAGACUCAGUGAAAUUGAACUCGCUGUGAAGAUGCAGUGUACCCGCGGCAAGACGGAAAGACCCCGUGAACCUUUACUAUAGCUUGACACUGAACAUUGAGCCUUGAUGUGUAGGAUAGGUGGGAGGCUUAGAAGUGUGGACGCCAGUCUGCAUGGAGCCGACCUUGAAAUACCACCCUUUAAUGUUUGAUGUUCUAACGUUGACCCGUAAUCCGGGUUGCGGACAGUGUCUGGUGGGUAGUUUGACUGGGGCGGUCUCCUCCUAAAGAGUAACGGAGGAGCACGAAGGUUGGCUAAUCCUGGUCGGACAUCAGGAGGUUAGUGCAAUGGCAUAAGCCAGCUUGACUGCGAGCGUGACGGCGCGAGCAGGUGCGAAAGCAGGUCAUAGUGAUCCGGUGGUUCUGAAUGGAAGGGCCAUCGCUCAACGGAUAAAAGGUACUCCGGGGAUAACAGGCUGAUACCGCCCAAGAGUUCAUAUCGACGGCGGUGUUUGGCACCUCGAUGUCGGCUCAUCACAUCCUGGGGCUGAAGUAGGUCCCAAGGGUAUGGCUGUUCGCCAUUUAAAGUGGUACGCGAGCUGGGUUUAGAACGUCGUGAGACAGUUCGGUCCCUAUCUGCCGUGGGCGCUGGAGAACUGAGGGGGGCUGCUCCUAGUACGAGAGGACCGGAGUGGACGCAUCACUGGUGUUCGGGUUGUCAUGCCAAUGGCACUGCCCGGUAGCUAAAUGCGGAAGAGAUAAGUGCUGAAAGCAUCUAAGCACGAAACUUGCCCCGAGAUGAGUUCUCCCUGACUCCUUGAGAGUCCUGAAGGAACGUUGAAGACGACGACGUUGAUAGGCCGGGUGUGUAAGCGCAGCGAUGCGUUGAGCUAACCGGUACUAAUGAACCGUGAGGCUUAACCUUACAACGCCGAAGCUGUU
rnacentral:rRNA from 1 species